rnacentral:tRNA from 1 species
GCGGGGGUGCCGGAGCCAGACGGGAUAGUUUUCCGAUCUAUUGGCUUAGUGCCUACGAGGGUUCAAACCCCUUCCCCCGCA